CAGCAUGGUUGAAACUGACUCAGAAAUAGCAGCAGUGAACUUGCAGCUUAACAAUGGGGAUUCUGAAUCAACUCUCUGGAAGUUCCUGCAAUGGAAAUAGGCAGAAUUUUGGUUUUAGGCCAAAGGCAUGGUGAAGAAUAGGGAUGCUUGUGGCUGUAGAAUUAACUGAAAGAACUCCUGCUGAUCAUCUAGUUCAACCUUCAUUUUUUUACAGCAAGCUGCAGCUGUUGCUUGAAGAGUUGAAGAGGAAUCUGACUAAAAAAAUAAAAUAAAAUAUGGCUCCUCACCUUUCCAGUG